rnacentral:hammerhead_ribozyme from 1 species
AUUCAGCUGACGAGUCCUAAACGGGACUAAACGCUCAUCUUAAAU